rnacentral:rRNA from 1 species
AUUGAACGCUGGCGGCCGGCCUAACACAUGCAAGUCGAGCGGAUGAAGGGAGCUUGCUCCUGGAUUCAGCGGCGGACGGGUGAGUAAUGCCUAGGAAUCUGCCUGGUAGUGGGGGAUAACGUCCGGAAACGGGCGCUAAUACCGCAUACGUCCUGAGGGAGAAAGUGGGGGAUCUUCGGACCUCACGCUAUCAGAUGAGCCUAGGUCGGAUUAGCUAGUUGGUGGGGUAAAGGCCUACCAAGGCGACGAUCCGUAACUGGUCUGAGAGGAUGAUCAGUCACACUGGAACUGAGACACGGUCCAGACUCCUACGGGAGGCAGCAGUGGGGAAUAUUGGACAAGGGGCGAAAGCCUGAUCCAGCCAUGCCGCGUGUGUGAAGAAGGUCUUCGGAUUGUAAAGCACUUGAAGUUGGGAGGAAGGGCAGUAAGUUAAUACCUUGCUGUUUUGACGUUACCAACAGAAUAAGCACCGGCUAACUUCGU